CAGCUGUUCCGGAGCAAUGAAUCAUCUGGCGCACACGGGCGCCUCAGCCAGAUGAGGAGCGAGUGGCGCGACCGACAGAACGGUGG
rnacentral:ncRNA from 1 species